AGCCAUGCGAGUCGAGAGUCAUUUGGACUCGGCGAACUGCUCAGUAACACGUGGCCAAACUGCCCUGUGGAGGGGAAUAACCUCGGGAAACUGAGGAUAAGACCUCAUAGGUGUCCGAUGCUGGAAUGCCCGGGCACCGAAACGCUCAGGCGCCACAGGACGUGGCUGCGGCCGAUUAGGUUGACGGUGGGGUAACGGCCCACCGUGCCCAUAAUCGGUACGGGUUGUGAGAGCAAGAGCCCGGAGAUGGAAUCUGAGACACGAUUCCAGGCCCUACGGGGCGCAGCAGGCGCGAAACCUUUACACUGUACGAGAGUGCGAUAAGGGGAUCCCAAGUGCCCGCGCCUAGCGUGGGCUUUUCCGAACCGUAAAAUGGUUCAGGAAUAAGGGCUGGGAAAGACCGGUGCCAGCCGCCGCGGUAACACCGGCAGCUCGAGUGAUGGCCGAUUUUAUUGGGCCUAAAGCGUCCGUAGCCUGCCGUACGGGUCCGUCGGGAAAUCCGCCCGCUCAACGGGCGGACGUCCGGCGGAAACCAUACGGCUUGGGACCAGAGGACCCGAGGGGUACGUCGGGGGUAGGAGUGAAAUCCCGAGAUCCUCGACGGACCGCCGGUGGCGAAAGCGCCUCGGGAAGAUGGAUCCGACGGUCAGGGACGAAAGCUUGGGUCUCGAACCGGAUUAGAUACCCGGGUAGUCCAAGCUGUAAACGAUGCUCGCUAGGUGUGGCGUAGGCUACGAGCCUGCGCUGUGCCAAAGGGAAGCCACGAAGCGAGCCGCCUGGGAAGUACGUCUGCAAGGAUG
rnacentral:rRNA from 1 species